AGUGUAGGCGGUUACUUAAGUCGGAUGUGAAAUCCCCGGGCUCAACCUGGGAAUUGCAUUCGAUACUGGGUAGCUAGAGUUUGGUAGAGGUAAGUGGAAUUCCGGGUGUAGCGGUGAAAUGCGUAGAUAUCCGGAGGAACAUCAGUGGCGAAGGCGGCUUACUGGACCAAAACUGACGCUGAGGCUCGAAAGCGUGGGGAGCGAACAGGAUUAGAUACCCUGGUAGUCC
rnacentral:rRNA from 1 species